CUUUGUUACCAAUUUUUGUCCACACUAGUUUAAAUUCUAUAGUAUUAAAUUUGGUAAACCAAAUGAUUGCCUCUAAACCAAACAAGCCCGUGAUGAUAUGAGUGACCGUUGGAUCGAGCUUGCACGGUCAAGAUUAACCAGUCCUGAAUCCGGUCAUGUAUUUGCAACGAAUACACCCCUGAUUUUUUUUCGUAUUCCACCCGUAACUCCCUGUCUCGCAACGGUCGACGAUUUCGAAGUUCAAUCACCACCGCGCGCCGGCGCCGGCGCCCACCCCGCCAUCUUCUCGACGAAGAAGAGAUGCCGCCUCCGCCUCCGCCUCCGCUUCCGCUUCUACUCGGCCGCGCACCCCGCCUUUUGAUCGGGUGAGGCGCUCCGGUGGUCGCAGCGGGCGGGCAUGGAGCUCUCUGGAAGCUCCUUUUUCUCGGUUGGGCUGCGCGCCGCGGGCGGCUGCCCGUUCGACGCGCUUCUGCGGGAGAAGUUCUUGGUACGGGAGGUGGUGACUGACGGAGAUUUAGGAGAUUGGGUAAAGAGGGCAGCGGCGGCGUAGAGCAGGUGCAAUUGCCUGCUGUGACCUGCUCGUUGCCGAGCGACCGAGCGGGCGCAUGCGCGUGAGGUGUUCGACGAAAUGGCGACAUAGGGGUGGCACCCCCCGGUUCGCGGUGAGCAAUGCCUGGAGAAGGUUGGUUGAUGGCAAGAUGGACCUAGCCAUGACUCCAUCGCGUUGUACCAUGGCGUUUUCCAUGCGCUCUGCGGAGAUCUGACGAUGCAGGAUGUGGUUUUUGGCUGUCAUGAGGAAGAGUACGGACCAUUUUGGCAGAGGAUAGAUAUGGUCCUGGCAUCAUGCAACGUGCAACUGGAUUGUGGAUGAGAGAUGGGUCCCGUCACCAUUCAGUAUUAUCUUACUGUUCUCAUUCAGACUCACAGAAGUGAUCACAUGGGGAAAAAAUAGCUGCUUUCCUAAUGUAUACUAGGAAGGAGUGAGAACUUGCUAAAUUUGGCCGCGGAAGAGUUAGCAGUUUUGCGAUGGGAGGAGCAGCAUUGAGGAGUUCACUGAGGUGAUGGAAGAUCUUGUUGCUGGGGCAAAGAUUCAAAGGAGCUGUGCUUCUUCUUGAUGCAAACAGCCAUGGCUAGCUCCUUGAGCUCUGAUGAAUUCGAGUCAUUCCAUUUCCAGAGACAGGUAAUUAGACAUUACUCCCUCCAUCCCAAAUUAUAAGGCACAGCCAUUUUUCUCUCGUGUCUCGUAAUAUAAGGCGUGCAUGCAUGUAUACAUUAACUAGCACCUCUUGGUCCAAUAGAAUUGAUUUAUUUCAAAUCAUAUACCAUUAAACCUUCCAAUCACAUUGCUUGUAUGUAUCAAUGCGAUCCAACCAAGAAAGUAUUAAAUGUUU